GGCGAACGCUGGCGGCGUGCUUAACACAUGCAAGUCGAGCGGUAAGGCCCUUUCGGGGGUACACGAGCGGCGAACGGGUGAGUAACACGUGGGUGACCUGCCCUUAGCUCUGGGAUAAGCCUGGGAAACUGGGUCUAAUACCGGAUAUGACUCCAUGACGCAUGUUGUGGGGUGGAAAGCCUUGUGCGGCUAGGGAUGGGCCCGCGGCCUAUCAGCUUGUUGGUGGGGUGAUGGCCUACCAAGGCGACGACGGGUAGCCGGCCUGAGAGGGCGACCGGCCACACUGGGACUGAGACACGGCCCAGACUCCUACGGGAGGCAGCAGUGGGGAAUCUUG
rnacentral:rRNA from 1 species